UAUCUACUCCCUCCGUCCGCAAAUACUUGUCAAAGAAAUGGAUACAAAUGGAUGUAUCUAGAACUAAAAUGCAUCUAGAUACAUCCAAUCCCCAGACAAGUAUUUUCGGACGGAGGGAGUACUAC
rfam:Triticum aestivum genome assembly, contig: Triticum_aestivum_CS42_TGACv1_scaffold_423182_5BS